rnacentral:rRNA from 1 species
UACGUAGGGGGCUAGCGUUGUCCGGAUUUAUUGGGCGUAAAGAGCGUGUAGGCGGCCAGGUAGGUCUGGUGUGAAAACUCGAGGCUUAACCUCGAGAUGUCAUCGGAAACCAUCUGGCUAGAGUCCGGAAGAGGAGAGUGGAAUUCCUGGUGUAGCGGUGAAUGCGCAGAUAUCGGGAGGAACACCAGUGGCGAAGGCGACUUCCUGGCCUGUUCUUGACGCUGAGGCGCGAAAGCUAGGGUAGCAAACGGG